rnacentral:rRNA from 1 species
CAGUCGUACCGACGAGAAAUCAGCCCUUCGAGUGCGAGCUUGUGGGCGUGCGUGAGUCUUUAACGGGCCUCGCUGUUUGCAAUGUUUGUGCUUUUCGGGUGUACUUUUUCGUAUGGUAGGCCAACGUCAGUUUUGAUCACCGUAAAAUGAUUGGAGGAAUGUAGCUUUGAUCUCGUAUCGAAGUGUUAUAGCCUCUGGUAGAUGUGACGAUUGGGAUUGGAGGAUUGCAACGGNUACCCUCGGGGCUACCCGUCUGAUCUCUGAUCGUUGC